rnacentral:rRNA from 1 species
UUUUAUGAGAGUUUGAUCCUGGCUCAGGACGAACGCUGGCGGCGUGCCUAAUACAUGCAAGUCGUACGCUUCUUUUUCCACCGGAGCUUGCUCCACCGGAAAAAGAAGAGUGGCGAACGGGUGAGUAACACGUGGGUAACCUGCCCAUCAGAAGGGGAUAACACUUGGAAACAGGUGCUAAUACCGUAUAACAAUC